rnacentral:rRNA from 1 species
UACGUAGGGUGCAAGCGUUGUCCGGAAUUACUGGGCGUAAAGCGCACGUAGGCGGCUUUGUAAGUUAGAGGUGAAAGCCCGGGGCUCAACUCCGGAACUGCCUUUAAGACUGCAUCGCUUGAAUCCAGGAGAGGUGAGUGGAAUUCCGAGUGUAGAGGUGAAAUUCGUAGAUAUUCGGAAGAACACCAGUGGCGAAGGCGGCUCACUGGAGCUGGUAUUGACGCUGAGGUGCGAAAGCGUGGGGAGCAAACAGG